UCAAACAGCUGAAUUAUAAUUGCAACUAACGUUUGGUAUUUGAAGAAUAUCCACAAAACUUUGUCAUGAAGCAUGCUAUGUAUGUUCUAAACAUGUAUCUGUGUCAGGUCAUUACCACCUGUUGAAAAAGGCACUAUUUGUAAGUAAUCGAUUGUUUUUUUGCUUUCAGGAACAAAACCAGAGAUUAUUUUAAAAGAAGGGAGAUGUGUUUCUGCAACAUGGGUAUGGUUGAAUAAGAAUAAGCUACUUUAGGUUUCAGGAAGCCUAUAAUGAAUUCUAACACCAACAUUUUCUGUUCAUAAAUUCAUAGAAUACCACAGUCUUAAAAGCAGAACAGAAAUCCAAAAGCUAUUACAGUGCUUUUGGAUUUUGGUUUAGCAUUUCUGUUUAACCAUUGCUCUCUGAAUAUCUCCCUGGUUCAAGGUUGGGGUAUCAAAUACGUCAGGCAACAUAGUUACAUUGUUAAUUCUUUUUUUUUUGUUCAAUUGACUCUUUUUAUUAACCACCUAUACAUUGGAAUUAGUCUUUCAUGACAAAAUAAUGACAUUACAGAGGAGAUCAAUGGAGAGCCAGCCUUUAUCUUCAUCAAUCAUGCUGGAAUGGAAAUAUCUCAGUGUGCUAGAACAUAUGCCCUUGUCUUACGGCCUCAAGAAGGACCUUCCAGAUUUACUAUGUGUAAGGGCACAGCAACCUUGUUGCUGUCCUUCCACUGAUGUACCUGCCCCAUGGAGCACACAAACAAAAUUAUUCACUUUCAAUUUUACAUCAGAGGGUGCGUGCUCAUGCACAAACCCUUUUGUAUUCCUUUAUAGAAUGGUCAAUCACACAGUGAAGAUGCUUGCACCAGGUAAAUUAGAUUAUUAAUCCCUGUCUGGUUUUUUUUUCACCUGUGAAUGUGCAUGCACUGUAAUGCAUAACCUGCUUCAAACAUGUUUUGAGAAGCUGCAAUGUUUACAUUUAGAAAACAUUUUGAUGACAAAGCCUCUUACAAGUUACAGGUGCUAUUAUGUUUCAUCCUAGGAAUGACAAUCAUCCUAGGAAUUAUAACUAUCUAUUUGGUGUAUCUAUUGGAACUACAUUCAUGCAGCUUGAAAAGCCAGACUCCAAUGGUUUGCAAAUACUCAGAAUGAAAAGGCAAAGUUCAAAAACAAAAUACAAAAUGCAAUUUGUGCAGUGCAGUCUGACAAGAAUAACGGAAUAUUUUCAUCUUUUCUAGUCAAGAAAACUGGCACAGCAUGACAGAUUUAUUUGCUUAACCAGAUGGUAUCCUUUAAGCUGAAAUGCUGGAGAAAUGAGAACAAAUCAAGGAAUAAACAACCAGGGGAAGUGAGAUGAAUGUCAUUGUUCAUGAGAUUACUUGUAAAUAUGAAAUGAUAUCUAUAUCACAUAUAAUUGCUACAAUAAACAGAAUUGCUUCUUAA